rnacentral:rRNA from 1 species
AGGAUCAUUGCACACACAAAGUUGCAGCAAACCCCCUUUGCGAAUUUCAUGAAUGUCCCCCUUGUGUUUUGGGGGCUGGGGCGUCGUCGUCACUACUCUUGUGGUGGUGGUGGUGGUGUCCCCGGCCUGCCGAACACAUCCAAGUCCCCCCAAUACAAUGGGAGGCUUGGGGCUCCUCCCUGAACCGGGUAGGCGGCCCCUUGUCCCCCCUGGGAGGACUUGGUAACCAACCGAUUGCGCAAUGCAUCAACACUUUCAAUAUGACUGAGUAUAAAAAUUUCGGGACACUGCCGCUUGCAAAGGCGGUGGCGUCCCCGAGUUGUGAUAAACAAAAACAACUCUCAGCAACGGAUAUCUUGGCUCUUGCAACGAUGAAGAACGCAGCGAAAUGCGAUACGUAGUGUGAAUUGCAGAAUUCCGCGAAUCAUCGAGUCUUUGAACGCAAGUUGCGCCCGAGGCUUGACCAAGGGCAUCUCUGCCAGAGCGUCACCGCGACACCCACCAAUCCACUCCAAGUGGAUUGAGUGAAACUGGCCAUCCGAAUGUGGCCACCCGGGGGGAAGGCAACUUCUCUCCUGGGUGGCAGAUUGGGUUGGCUGAAAUGGAGGGAAUUUGGCCGCCGUGGUGACACAGCCCGCGAUCAGGUGAUCCAGGCCCCCCCACUUGCAAAGGUGGUGGGUGUCCUGGAACUCAAAUGUGCGUUGGUUGUGCUCUCUGCCCAGUCAUGAAUUCCAAAGCAGGUCCCUCGCGACACUCGGUCCCUUCUAGUGACUAGUCACCAAGGGGGGCUGGGUGGAGAGCGAGGAAAACGUC